rnacentral:rRNA from 1 species
GGAGCGACGCCGCGUGGAGGAUGAAGGCCUUCGGGUUGUAAACUCCUGUCAUGCGGGAACAAGCAAGUGAUAGUACCGCAAGAGGAAGAGACGGCUAACUCUGUGCCAGCAGCCGCGGUAAUACAGAGGUCUCAAGCGUUGUUCGGAUUCAUUGGGCGUAAAGGGUGCGUAGGUGGUGACGCAAGUCUGGUGUGAAAUCUCGGAGCUCAACUCCGAAAUUGCACCGGAUACUGCGUGACUCGAGGACUGUAGAGGAGAUCGGAAUUCACGGUGUAGCAGUGAAAUGCGUAGAUAUCGUGAGGAAGACCAGUUGCGAAGGCGGAUCUCUGGGCAGUUCCUGACACUGAGGCACGAAGGCCAGGGGAGCAAACGGGAUUAGAUACCCCGGUAGUCCUGGCAGUAAACGGUGCACGUUUGGUGUGGGCGGGUUCAGACCCCGUCCGUGCCGGAGCUAACGCGUUAAACGUGCCGCCUGGGAAGUACGGUCGCAAGAUUA